rnacentral:rRNA from 1 species
GUCCACGCCGUAAACGUUGGGCACUAGGUGUGGGUUUCAACCAACGAAAUCCGCGCCGUCGCUAACGCAUUAAGUGCCCCGCCUGGGGAGUACGGCCGCAAGGCUAAAACUCAAAGGAAUUGACGGGGCCCGCACAAGCAGCGGAGCGUGUUGCUUAAUUCGAUGCAACGCGAAGAACCUUACCUGGGCUUGACAUGUAGGGAAAAGCCGUAGAGAUACGGUGUCCUUCGGGGCCCUACACAGGUGGUGCAUGGCUGUCGU